CGCUGAAGAGAGGAGCUUGCUCUUCUUGGAUGAGUUGCGAACGGGUGAGUAACGCGUAGGUAACCUGCCUUGUAGCGGGGGAUAACUAUUGGAAACGAUAGCUAAUACCGCAUAACAAUGGAUGACACAUGUCAUUUAUUUGAAAGGGGCAAUUGCUCCACUACAAGAUGGACCUGCGUUGUAUUAGCUAGUAGGUGAGGUAACGGCUCACCUAGGCGACGAUACAUAGCCGACCUGAGAGGGUGAUCGGCCACACUGGGACUGAGACACGGCCCAGACUCCUACGGGAGGCAGCAGUAGGGAAUCUUCGGCAAUGGGGGCAACCCUGACCGAGCAACGCCGCGUGAGUGAAGAAGGUUUUCGGAUCGUAAAGCCCUGUUGUAAGUCAAGGACGAGUGUGAGAGUGGAAAGUUCACACUGUGACGGUAGCUUACCAGAAAGGGACGGCUAACUACGUGCCAGCAGCCGCGGUAAUACGUAGGUCCCGAGCGUUGUCCGGAUUUAUUGGGCGUAAAGCGAGCGCAGGCGGUUUGAUAAGUCUGAAGUUAAAGGCUGUGGCCCAACCAUAGUUCGCUUUGGAAACUGUCAAACUUGAGUGCAGAAGGGGAGAGUGGAAUUCCAUGUGUAGCGGUGAAAUGCGUAGAUAUAUGGAGGAACACCGGUGGCGAAAGCGGCUCUCUGGUCUGUAACUGACGCUGAGGCUCGAAAGCGUGGGGAGCGAACAGGAUUAGAUACCCUGGUAGUCCACGCCGUAAACGAUGAGUGCUAGGUGUUGGAUCCUUUCCGGGAUUCAGUGCCGCAGCUAACGCAUUAAGCACUCCGCCUGGAGAGUACGACCGCAAGGUUGAAACUCAAAGGAAUUGACGGGGGCCCGCACAAGCGGUGGAGCAUGUGGUUUAAUUCGAAGCAACGCGAAGAACCCUACCAGGUCUUGACAUCCCGAUGCUAUUUCUAGAGAUAGAAAGUUACUUCGGUACAUCGGUGACAGGUGGUGCAUGGUUGUCGUCAGCUCGUGUCGUGAGAUGUUGGGUUAAGUCCCGCAACGAGCGCAACCCCUAUUGUUAGUUGCCAUCAUUCAGUUGGGCACUCUAGCGAGACUGCCGGUAAUAAACCGGAGGAAGGUGGGGAUGACGUCAAAUCAUCAUGCCCCUUAUGACCUGGGCUACACACGUGCUACAAUGGUUGGUACAACGAGUUGCGAGUCGGUGACGGCAAGCUAAUCUCUUAAAGCCAAUCUCAGUUCGGAUUGUAGGCUGCAACUCGCCUACAUGAAGUCGGAAUCGCUAGUAAUCGCGGAUCAGCACGCCGCGGUGAAUACGUUCCCGGGCCUUGUACACACCGCCCGUCACACCACGAGAGUUUGUAACACCCGAAGUCGGUGAGGUAACCUUUGGAGCCAGCCGC
rnacentral:rRNA from 1 species